rnacentral:tRNA from 1 species
GCCAACAUGGUGAAGUGGUUUGAGUGUUGGACUCAGACUCUGGAGACCAGGGUUCAAAUCCCAGCUCGGCC